ACAGAGGGUGCAAACGUUGCUCGGAAUUACUGGGCGUAAAGCGCGUGUAGGCUGGUGAUCAAGUCAGAUGUGAAAGCCCUGGGCUCAACCUAGGAACUGCAUCUGAAACUGAUCGCCUAGAGUAUUGGAGAGGGAAGCGGAAUUCCUGGUGUAGAGGUGAAAUUCGUAGAUAUCAGGAGGAACACCGGUGGCGAAGGCGGCUUCCUGGACAAUUACUGACGCUGAGACGCGAAAGCGUGGGGAGCAAACAGG
rnacentral:rRNA from 1 species